CCUUCGAUAGCUCAGUUGGUAGAGCGGUGGACUGUAGAAGAAUAAAGCAGUAAACAGAAAUCCAUAGGUCGCUGGUUCAAAUCCGGCUCGAAGGA
rnacentral:tRNA from 2 species